ensembl:lncRNA
AAGGCACCUCAGUGUGAAUGAAUGGGACAUCACUAUGAAUCACCAUAGGGCUCUGGAGAAAAGUAGUGCACUAUUUAGGGAAAAGGGUGCCAUUUGGGACAAUACCCUAGAUAUAAAAGCAGGAAGAUGAGGUUACUGGGACUGUAGUGGAGGUUACUGGGACUGUACUGUUAGUGGAGGUUACUGGGACUGUAGUGGAGGUUACUGGGACUGUACUGUUAGUGGAGGUUACUGGGACUGUAGUGGAGGUUACUGGGACUGUAGUGGAGGUUACUGGGACUGUUAGUGGAGGUUACUGGGACUGUAGUGGAGGUUACUGGGACUGUACUGUUAGUGGAGGUUACUGGGACUGUAGUGGAGGUUACUGGGACUGUAGUGGACGUUACUGGGACUGUAGUGGAGGUUACUGGGACUGUAGUGUAGGUUACUGGGACUGUACUGUUAGUGGAGAUUACUGGGACUGUAGUGGAGGUUACUGGGACUGUACUGUUAGUGGAGGUUACUGGGACUGUAGUGGAGGUUACUGGGACUGUACUGCUACUCAACAGAGUUCUAGAGGUUGUGAGUAGGCUUGCUUUCCAUAUACUGCUCAAUAUCCAGAUAAGAGACUAGAUUACAGGCGUAUGCAUGUUAAGAUGAGAGUUUCCACAACCAAUAGCCAACUCAUGUGGAUAAUGCACACAGACAGUUAUGCUUGGGGUGAGUUGGCUCCACAACGCCCUCUGGUGGUAGGAUUAUAUGCCCAGCACUCAAUAAAGCUGUCUACCUUUACCACAGGUGUCAGACUCGUUCCAUUAUAUGUCUAUGGGCCGAGUGUCUGUGGGUUUUUGCUCCUCGUUUGUACUUGAGUGAUCGAGUAAGGUCACUGAUUAGUUAGGAACACCCCUCCUCACCUGGUUGUCUAGGUCUUCAUUGGUUAGUUAGGAACUCCCCUCACCUGGUUGUCUAGGUCUUAAUUGGUUAGGAACUCCCCUCACCUGGUUAUCUAGGUCUUAAUUGGUUAGGAACUCCCCUCACCUGGUUGUCUAGGUCUUAAUUGGUUAGGAACUCCCCUCACCUGGUUGUCUAGGUCUUAAUUGGUUAG